rnacentral:rRNA from 1 species
GUCUGUGACCAUCACCCUGAACACGCCCGGUCUCGGCCGAUCUCAGAAGCUAAGCAGGCUCGGGCCUGGCUAGUACUUGGAUGGGAGGAACCCCUCCUGGCUCCUGGUACUGGCGAGCA